AACGAACGUUGGCGGCGUGCUUAACACAUGCAAGUCGAACGAGAAAGUUUCCUUCGGGGAACGAGUAAAGUGGCGCACGGGUGAGUAACGCGUAAGUAAUCUACCUUGGCAUUUGGAAUAACUACGGGAAGCUGUAGCUAAUACCGGAUACGUUCUCCUUUCUGCGGAUUGGAGAAGAAAGAUGACCUCUUCUUGAAAGUUAUCGUGCUAAGAGGAGCUUGCGUACCAUUAGCUAGUUGGUAGGGUAAUGGCCUACCAAGGCAACGAUGGUUAGCGGGUCUGAGAGGAUGAUCCGCCACACUGGAACUGGAACACGGACCAGACUCCUACGGGAGGCAGCAGUGAGGAAUAUUGCGCAAUGGGGGAAACCCUGACGCAGCGACGCCGCGUGGAUGAUGAAGGCCUUAGGGUCGUAAAAUCCUGUCAGAUGGGAAGAAAUGUACGAGGGAAUAAUACCCCUUGUGCUUGACGGUACCAUCAAAGGAAGCACCGGCUAACUCCGUGCCAGCAGCCGCGGUAAUACGGAGGGUGCAAACGUUGUUCGGAAUUACUGGGCGUAAAGCGCGCGUAGGCGGUUUGUCAAGUCAGAUGUGAAAGCCCAAGGCUUAACCUUGGACGUGCAUUUGAAACUGGCAGACUUGAGUACUGGAGGGGAUGGUGGAAUUCCCGGUGUAGAGGUGAAAUUCGUAGAUAUCGGGAGGAAUACCGGUGGCGAAGGCGACCAUCUGGCCAGAUACUGACGCUGAGGUGCGAAAGCGUGGGGGAGCAAACAGGAUUAGAUACCCUGGCAGUCCACGCCGUAAACGAUGUCAACUAGGUGUUGGGGCGGUUAAUCGUCUCAUUGCCGGAGCU
rnacentral:rRNA from 1 species